rnacentral:rRNA from 1 species
UACAGAGGGUGCGAGCGUUGUUCGGAAUUAUUGGGCGUAAAGGGCGCGUAGGCGGCGCCACAAGUCACUUGUGAAAACUCUGGGCUCAACUCAGAGCCUGCAAGCGAAACUGUGGUGCUGGAGUAUGGGAGAGGGGGGUGGAAUUCCGCGUGUAGCAGUGAAAUGCGUAGAGAUGCGGAGGAACACCGAUGGCGAAGGCAGCCCCCUGGGCUGACACUGACGCUCAGGCACGAAAGCGUGGGGAGCAAACAGG